rnacentral:piRNA from 1 species
UAAAGNGAACCUUCGAUGCUGCUUAUUCCU